AACAGGAUUAGAUACCCUGGUAGUGCACGCCCUAAACGAUGCCAACUAGGUGUUGGGGAAGGAGACUUCCUUAGUACCGUAGCUAACGCGUGAAGUUGGCCGCCUGGGGAGUCCGGUCGCAAGAUUAAAACUCAAAGGAAUUGACGGGGACCCGCACAAGCGGUGGAUGAUGUGGAUUAAUUCGAUGCAACGCGAAAAACCUUACCUACCCUUGACAUGCCAGGAACCCUGCUGAGAGGUGGGGGUGCUCGAAAGAGAGCCUGGACACAGGUGCUGCAUGGCUGUCGUCAGCUCGUGUCGUGAGAUGUUGGGUUAAGUCCCGCAACGAGCGCAACCCUUGUCAUUAGUUGCCAUCAUUUAGUUGGGCUCUCUAAUGAGACUGCCGGUGACAAACCGGAGGAAGGUGGGGAUGACGUCAAGUCCUCAUGGCCCUUAUGGGUAGGGCUUCACACGUCAUACAAUGGUCGGUACAGAGGGUUGCCAAGCCGCGAGGUGGAGCCAAUCCCAGAAAGCCGAUCGUAGUCCGGAUCGGAGUCUGCAACUCGACUCCGUGAAGUCGGAAUCGCUAGUAAUCGUGGAUCAGCAUGCCACGGUGAAUACGUUCCCGGGUCUUGUACACACCGCCCGUCACACCAUGGGAGUGGGUUUCACCAGAAGUAGGUAGCCUAACCGCAAGGGGGGCGCUUACCACGGUGGGAUUCAUGACUGGGGGAAGUCGUAGCAAGGUACUCUGUU
rnacentral:rRNA from 1 species